ACGUAGGUGGCAAGCGUUAUUCGGAUUCACUGGGCGUAAAGGGUCCGUAGGGGGUCUGCCAAGUCUGAUGUGAAAUCCCGUGGCUCAACUGCGGAACUGCAUUGGAUACUGGCGGGCUGGAGUCUGCGAGGGGUGAGCGGAAUUCCUGGUGUAGCGGUGGAAUGCGUAGAUAUCAGGAAGAACACCGAUGGCGAAGGCGGCUCACUGGCGCAGUACUGACCCUGAGGGACGAAAGCGUGGGGAGCAAACAG
rnacentral:rRNA from 1 species